rnacentral:tRNA from 1 species
AAGGCUUUAAGUUAAGUAAACUAAUAGCCUUCAAAGCUGUCAUUAAAGGGGACUCUUUAAGCCUUA